rnacentral:tRNA from 1 species
UCCUUCAUAGCUCAGUUGGUAAAGAAUCUGCCUGCGAUGCAGGAGACCCAGGUUCGAUUCCUGGGUUGGGAA